rnacentral:rRNA from 1 species
CCCGCACAAGCGGAGGAACAUGUAGUUUAAUUCGAUGAUACGCGAGGAACCUUACCUGGGUUUAAAUGGGAAGUGACAGACUUGGAAACAGGUUUUUUCUUCGGACACUUUUCAAGGGUGCUGCAUGGUUGUCGUCAGCUCGUGCCGUGAGGUGUCGGGUUAAGUCCCAUAACGAGCGCAACCCCUAUCGGUAGUUACCAGCACAUAAUGGUGGGGACUCUGCCGAGACUGCCGGUGUAAACCGUGAGGAAGGUGGGGAUGACGUCAAAUCAGCACGGCCCUUACAUCCAGGGCUACACACGUGUUACAAUGGCCGGUACAAAGGGCAGCUACCCGCGAGGGGAUGCGAAUCUCAAAAACCGGUCUCAGUUCGGAUUGGAGUCUGCAACCCGACUCCAUGAAGCUGGAUUCGCUAGUAAUCGCGCAUCAGCCACGGCGCGGUGAAUACGUUCCCGGGCCUU